GAGGCAAGGAGAGGUGUGCAGAAUUCCGGGUUUAUUGGUGAAUCGCGUAGAUAUCCGGAGGAAUGUCGGUGCCGAAGGCGGCACACUGGUCUUGACCUGACGCUGAGGCACGAAGGCGUGGGGAGCAAACCGGAUUAGAUACCCGGGUAGUCCACGCAGUAAACGAUGUCGGCUCGGUGUAUCGUUGGUGGCAACACCAUGGUGUGCCCAAGCUCACGCGGUAAGCCGACCGCCUGGGGACUACGAGCGCAAGCUUUAAACUCAAAGGAAUUGACGGGGGCCCGCACAAGCAGCGGAGCGUGUGGUUUAAUUCGACGCAACGCGAAGAACCUUACCCAGGUUUGACAUGCAGCUGCAAGCGCACGGAAACGUGUGACCUUCGAGGGUGCUGCACAGGUGCUGCAUGGCUGUCGUCAGCUCGUGUCGUGAGAUGUUGGGUUAAGUCCCGCAACGAGCGCAACCCUUGCCGUCAGUUACAAGUGUCUGGCGGGACAGCCCUCGCUAUGGGGGAGGAAGGCGGGGAUGACGUCAAGUCAGCAUGGCCCUUACGCCUGGGGCGACACACACGCUACAAUGCCGACCACAAUGCGCUGCAACCACGCAAGUGCAAGCUAAUCGCCAAAGGUCGGCUCAGUGCAGAUCGGGGGCUGCAACUCGCCCCCGUGAAGGCGGAGUUGCUAGUAACCGCGUAUCAGCCAUCGCGCGGUGAAUACGUACCCGGGCCUUGUACACACCGCCCGUCACGUCAUGGGAGUUGGUAAUGCCUGAAGUCCGUGGGGUACCUGCGGGAGCCAGCGCCGA
rnacentral:rRNA from 1 species